CAAUUAGCGGAGGAAAAGAAACCAACAGGGAUUGCCUCACGGCGAGUGAAGCGGCAAAAGCUCAAAUUUUAAAGCUGGCACCUCCGGUGUCCGCGUUGUAAUUUUGUGAGGCAUCUCCGGGUGGGGCGCCGGCCUAAGUUCCUUGGAACAGGACGUCAUAGAGGGUGAGAAUCCCGUGCUUGGCUGGCUGUCCCCGUCCAUGUGAGGUGUCUUCGACGAGUCGAGUUGUUUGGGAAUGCAGCUCAAAAUGGGUGGUAAAUUUCAUCUAAAGCUAAAUAUUGGUGGGAGACCGAUAGCGCACAAGUAGAGUGAUCGAAAGAUGAAAAGCACUUUGAAAAUAGAGUUAAAAAGUACGUGAAAUUGUUGAAAGGGAAGCGCUUGAGACCAGACUUCGGUGGGGAGUGAUCAGCCGUCCUUCUGGGCGGUGCGCUUGCCCCCCUCCGGGCCAGCAUCGGUUGGGACGGCGGGAUAAAGGUCCCGGGAAUGUGGCUCCUCUCGGGGAGUGUUAUAGCCCGGGUGAAUGCCGCCAGCCCCGACCGAGGACCGCGCCUUCGGGCUAGGAUGCUUGGCAUAAUGGUCUUCAGCGACCCGUCUUAAAA
rnacentral:rRNA from 1 species